rnacentral:lncRNA from 1 species
GGUAAAGUGCCCGUCCCGUCCCGUCCCGUCCCGCCGCGGGGCCCGGGGAGCGCUGCGGCUGCCGCCGCGCCGCGCCGGGCCGAGCCUCCGCGGGGUCUCGGGAGAAAUUAAACCGCCUCCAGGAGCGUCGCUUCAUGACCCGGCGCCCCGCGCGUAGCGGAGCGGGGAGGCGCUCGCCUGGUCCGCGGCGGCGGCGGCUGUGCCCGCGGCCUGGCUGGGGGCUCCCCGCUCGCUCCCCGCUCGCGUUUCCUCUUCUUUUCUCCCUGGGUUGUGUUUAUAUGCAAACGCGGCCCGCAAAAUGAGCCGUGGUAAAUGAGACUGAGAAGUAACGUAAGCUGCUUUUUAUUUACUUGAACGGCGCCUUGUUGGGGUUUUUGGGUUUUUUUUCUUUCAAAAUGCAGCUAAAGAAGUUAAUAUGACGGCUGUGCUUAAAAAUAUCAACCGCUGCUUUCCUUGUGAUCCUGGCGGAACAGAAAAUCAUCCGAGCUGCAGCGCCGCCGCGAUAGGACACAAACCCUCAUGUUGCUUUCUCUUUUGCACUUUGGUCACUUCACUUCCAUCUAUAUGGAAAUUUAAGACUGAAACAGAAGAUCUGAAUGUAAAACUGCUAAUAUUUCAGAGGGGCACAGCUACUUGUCCUUCUCCUACUUUCUCUGUUUGGUCUAUAUUUUGUAAAACUUACUAUUGUUUUACCAGAAUUUGAUUACAUGAAUCCCAAGCAGUGAUGGAGAAGAAAUAAAAAUAAAUAAAUGGAGAUAACUUUUAUUCUU